CCUACGGGUGGCAGCAGUGGGGAAUCUUCCGCAAUGGGCGAAAGCCUGACGGAGCAACGCCGCGUGAUCGAAUGAAGGCCUUCGGGUUGUAAAGAUCUGUUGACAGGGACGACUAAGCAAUGCAAAUAGUUUUGUGUAUGACCGUUCCCGUUUAGAAAGCUCCGGCUAACUACGGGCCAGCAGCCGCGGUUAAACGUAGGGAGCAAGCGUUUUCCGGAAUUACUGGGGGUAAAGGGCGCGUAGGUGGGCGUUUAAGUCAGGUGUGAAAACUCCGGGGUCAACCUGGGGACGGCACUUGAAACUGGGAGUCUUGAGGGCAGGAGAGGAAAGUGGAAUUCCAAGUGUAGCGGUGAAAUGCGUAGAUAUUAGGAGGAACACCAGUGGCGAAGGCGACUUUCUGGACUGUACCUGACGCUGAGGCGCGAAAGCGUGGGGAGCGAACGGGAUUAGAUACCCCAGUAGUC
rnacentral:rRNA from 1 species